CCUACGGGUGGCAGCAGUGGGGAAUAUUGCACAAUGGGGGAAACCCUGAUGCAGCGACGCCGCGUGAGUGAAGAAGUAAUUAGGUACGUAAAGCUCUAUCAGCAGGGAAGAAAAGGACGGUACCUGAGUAAGAAGCCACGGCUAACGACGUGCCAGCAGCCGCGGUAAUACGUAGGGGGCAAGCGUUAUCCGGAGUUACUGGGUGUAAAGGGAGCGUAGACGGUGCGCCAAGUCUGGAGUGAAAUGCCGCAGCUUAACGGCGGAACUGCUUUUGAAACGGGCGAACUAGAGUGUGGGAGGGGUAAGCGGAAUUCCUAGUGUAGCGGUGAAAUGCGUAGAUCUUAGGC
rnacentral:rRNA from 1 species